GGGAUAACAGAGGGAAACUUCUGAUAAUACUGGAUAAGUUAGUAUAUCGCAUGAUAUGCAAAUGAAAGCUACGGCACUAAAGGAGAGCUUUGCGUUCUAUAGCUAGUUGGUAAGGUAAGAGCUUACCAAGGCGAUGAUAGGUAGCCGGCCUGAGAGGGUGGACGGCCACAAGGGGACUGAGAUACGGCCCUUACUCCUACGGGAGGCAGCAGCC
rnacentral:rRNA from 1 species